UACGGGGGGGGCAAGCGUUGUUCGGAAUUACUGGGCGUAAAGGGCUCGUAGGCGGCCAACUAAGUCAGACGUGAAAUCCCUCGGCUUAACCGGGGAACUGCGUCUGAUACUGGAUGGCUUGAGUUCGGGAGAGGGAUGCGGAAUUCCAGGUGUAGCGGUGAAAUGCGUAGAUAUCAGGAGGAACACCGGUGGCGAAGGCGGUUCUCUGGGCCUUACCUGACGCUGAGGAGCGAAAGCGUGGGGAGCGAAUGGG
rnacentral:rRNA from 1 species